CAGCUGCAGCACUUCCUCUCUACCUCAGUUGUCACAUGGUAUUCUUCCUGUCCUGUUGGUGAGUGUGCUUAUUCAGAUGGAGCCUAGACAGUUUGUGAACACUGAUUCUGCUCUUAUGGAGCUUCUUGGUACUGGCACUGAAUGGUGUGCCUUAAAGUGAAGCCUGAAUGUCUCAGAUUGAUUUCAAACAAAUGCAGCAACAAAUCAAGGUGUUCUUCCUUGGGAAGUGAUGGGUGUUUUGCCUACUGUCAAUCUCUGGAAUCAUUCUGGCUACUAUGUGGACAAAAACUGUAGCAGGUAAAGAACAGGAGCCAAGAAGCCAGUAUGGAGCCAAAGAGCAGGCCAAGUGAGGGAUGAUGACUCACUCACUGGCUAGCUGAGUGGUUCUUGGUAUACCAACAAGAAUGAAAAUAACUUAACAGCAAUUUUAUAAAUUCACAUCCCCCAGAGCACCACAGAGUAAAGAAAUACUGCAUAUGGGUAACAACUGGUUCUUAGUUACUAAAUCUGAAAGAUCAAAUACAGUUAAUUACAUAAGCUUCUCUUGAGUUUUUCUGGGGGAAUAUACCAGGAGACCAUAAUCAAGGUUUCUGGUAUUGCACUAAACACGAUGAAAAACAGGAGAGAACGGAGAGGGAUCAUGUUUUACCACAAUAUGCAAUUUAUGGGAGAGAUGAAGCGCUCAGGUGGAGAUGACUAGUGUCACGUGGUGUUUUAAGUGGAUACUCACAACGCUGGAACUCACAGCAAUAACAACAAGAGGUGACUACAAAAUUAUUACAGUAGUACACUAUGGACUACAGUUAAUUUUAUGCAGUUAUGAUCUAAUCUGCGUCUUUAUGUUUGUUUACAUUUCUGCCAACUGUGAAUGGCACUAUGUCCAGUCUGUGUUUGUGUGCAUAGGUUUUGAGAAAUUUUAACUUUUUACAAGAGAUUUGUGUAUAUUUUAUAAUAGUAAAUUAUAAAAUACACUAGUAUCUACAUAUGUCUUAUGCAUUCAUGACAUACCUUUUUCUUAGUUUUUUCUGAUAUUUCUAGGCUAAUUCACCUAGGAAUUUCUUCAAAUUGUCACAAAUCACC
rnacentral:lncRNA from 10 species